rnacentral:sRNA from 1 species
AAAAAGUGAAGAAAUCAAGGAAACAAGCUAGGUGGUGAGACGUCCGGAAAAGGCAAAGGAAUUGCGCCUGAGGACUAUUAGUCAGAGUUCACCCGAAAUCCGGAUUUUUCGACACCUAUCACGAGGUAGUCGAUAAUUAGGACGAGGUGUUCUUGU